rnacentral:rRNA from 1 species
AGUGAACGCUGGCGGUAGGCCUAACACAUGCAAGUCGAACGGCCGCACAGUAAGAGCUUGCUCUUACGGGUGGCGAGUGGCGGACGGGUGAGGAAUACAUCGGAAUCUACUUUUUCGUGGGGGAUAACGUAGGGAAACUGACGCUACUACCUCAUACUUCCUACGGCUGAAAUCAGGGGAUCUUCGGACCUUGCGUGACUCAAUUAGCCGAUGUCGGAUUAGCUAGUUGGCUGGGUAAAGGCCCACCAAGGCGACGAUCCGUAGCUUGUCUGAGAGGAUGAUCCGCCACACUGGAACUGAGACACGGUCCAGACUCCUACGGGAGGCAGCAGUGGGGAAUAUUGGACAAUGGGCGCAAGCCUGAUCCAGCCAUACCGCGUGGGUGAAGAAGGCCUUCGGGUUGUAAAGCCCUUUUGUUGGGAAAGAAAAGCAGCAGGUUAAUCCCCCGCUGUUCUGACGGUACCCAAAGAAUAAGCAACGGCUAACUUCGUG